GGAGACCCUGCUGUAAAUCAAGAAGACAACAACAGAUGAUCAACAUCAAUUUGGACCAUGCCUCAGGACUACCUGGCAUGAUGACUCCUUGCUGUCCCCAGUCCACCUGGCUGUGCUGCUGCUCCAGUUUCAACUGUUCUGCCUGUGGCUAUGGAACCCUGACCUGUUCACCGGACGUGCUACAUGUCCCAGACCUGCUGUUUUCAACUCCCUAGAGACAGCAGGAGCGGUAGAGAUACUCUCAAUGAUCGGCUAUGAAAAGUCAACUGACAUUUACUCCUGAGGUUCUGACCUGUUGCACCCUCGAAAACUACUGUGAUUAUUAUUAUUUGACCAUGCUGGUCAUUUAUGAACAUUUGAACAUAUUGGCCAUGUUCUUUUAUAAUCUCCACCAGCACAGCCAGAAGAGGACUGGCCACCCCUCAUAGCCUAAUUCCUCUCUAGAUUUCUUCCCAGGUUUCCUAGCCACCGUGCUUCUACACCUGCAUUUCUUGCUGUUUGAGGUUUUAGGCUGGGUUUCUUUACAGCACUUUGAGAUAUCAGCUGAUCUAAGAAGGACUUUAUAAAUACAUUGAUUGAUUGUGAUAUCGCAUCCACUAUCACAACAGCUGUUCGCCACUUGAUUAUCAUUCAGAAAAUGAAUUCCUGGAUCAGAUGAUAGUGUGAAAAUAUCACAGCAUAAUUAAACAGCUUAAAACCCAAUGAGCAUCCAUCAAGAAUGAUGCAUAAUUAUUAAAAGAACCACGUUAAUUACAGUAUCAAUUGAUGUUUUAAGUAUCAAGGUACGGUGACUGUUUUGGUUAGAAGCAUUAGAUUUUGCAAUGGCAUGAAUUUAUGGGGAUUUGUGCCUAUGAAAACAAUUUUCACCCCAUAACAAAAGGAGACGCACAAUGUUACGUAGUUACACUGCAUUUCGGAGAUCUUUGUACAAAAAACUGUCAGACAGCAAGAUCCAGGAUUCUUACAAGGUUCAAGUUCAGUCUAAAUUACCUGAUUAAUGCUUAAUAUAUGAUAUAACAACAAUGUACACUGCCAUAAAUGCAAUAACAGAAAAAGUCAUGUUUUAUCUCAAACAAUUUUAUACAAAUCCAUCAAGAUACCAACCACGAGAAAGGGUUAAAUAUAUAUUUUUCUCCAUACACACCCCAUAAUGACAAAGUGAAAAUAUGUUUCUAGAAACUUUAGCACAUUUAUUGAAAAUUGAAUACAGAAAUAUCUCAUUUACAUAACUAUUCACACGCCUGCAUCAAUGCAUGUUAGAAUUAGAUUUGGCAGCGAUUACAGCUGUGAGUCUUUCUGGGUAAGUCUCUAAGAGCCCUGCACACCUGGAUUGUACAAUAUUUGCACAAUAUUCUUUAAAACAUUAUUUAAGCUCUGUCAAGUUGGUAGCUAAUCAUUGCUAGACAGCCUUUUUCAUGUCUUGCCAUAGAUUUUCAAGCAGAUUUAAGUCAAAACUGUAACUCUGCCACUCAGGAACAUUCAAUGUCAUCUUGGUAAGCAACUCCAGUGUAUAUUUGGCCUUGUGUUUUAGGUUAUUGUUCUGCUGAAAGGUGAAUUUGUCUGUUGGAAAGCAGACUGAGCCAGGUUUUCCUCUAGGAUUGUGCCUGUCCUUAGCUCCAUUACGCUUAAUUUUUUGUCUUGAAAAACUCCCUAGUCCUUUCCGAUAAAAAGCAUACCGAUAACCACCACCAAGAUGUAGCCACCACCAUGGUAUUCAGUAAAGUGUUGUGUUGGAUUUGCUCCAACAUUACGCUUUGUAUUCAUUUCCUUGCCACAUUGUUUUGCAGUUUUAGUGCCUUAUUGCAAACAGGAUGCAUGUUUUGGAAUAUUUUUUUAUUCUGUACAGGCUUCCUUCUUUUCACUCUGUCAGGUUAGUAUUUUGGAGUAACUACAAUGUUGUUGAUCCAUCCCCAAUUUUCUCCUAUCACAGCCAUUAAACCCUGUAACUGUUUCAAAGUCACCAUUGGCCUCAUGGUGAAAUCCCUGAGCGGUUUCCUUCCUCUCCGGCAGCUGAGUUAGGAAGGAUGCUUGUAUCUUUGUAGUCACUGAGUGUAUUGAUACACCAUCCAAAGUGCAAGUUCAUUAAUAACAUCACCAUGCUCAAAGGGAUAUUCAAUGUCUGCAUUUUAUUUUAUUUUCCAAUCUACCGAUAGGUGCCCUUCUUUGUGAGGCGUUGGAAAACCUCCCUGGUCCUUGUGGUUGCAAUCUGUGUUUGAAUUUCAAACUUACAGAAAAUUGCAUGUGUGGAGUACAGAAAUGCGGUAGUCAUUAAAAAAUCAUGUUAAACACUA